GAGACAGCACCGCAGUUGCCGCCAGCUCGGGGAUUUCUGGCUCUUUUCUCUUUGCCUUAAAUUCGGGUGUCUUUUAUGAAUAAUCAAAAGCAACAAAAACCAACGCUAUCAGGCCAGCGUUUUAAAACCAGAAAAAGAGAUGAAAAAGAGAAGUUUGACCCUACUCAGUUUCAAGACUGUAUUAUUCAAGACUUAGCUGAAACUGGUACUGAUUUGGAAGCAGUAGCUAAGUUUCUUGAUGCUUCUGGAGCAAAACUUGAAUACUGCCGCUAUGCAGAAACACUCUUUGACAUUCUGGUGGCUGGCGGAAUGCUGGCCCCAGGUGGUACACUGGCAGAUGACAUGAUGCACACAGAUGUUUGUGUGUUUGCAGCACAAGAAGACCUAGAAACCAUGCAAGCAUUUGCUCAGGUUUUUAACAAGUUAAUCAGGUGCUACAAAUACCUGGAGAAAGGUUUUGAAGAUGAAGUUAAAAAGUUAUUGCUCUUCCUAAAGGGAUUUUCAGAGUCGGAGAGUAACAAGCUCGCCAUGUUGACUGGGGUCCUUCUGGCUAAUGGAACUCUUAAUGCAUCCAUUCCUAACAGCCUUUAUAAUGAGAAUUUGGUUAAAGAAGGGGUUUCAGCAGCUUUUGCUGUAAAGCUCUUUAAAUCAUGGAUAAAUGAAAAAGACAUCAAUGCAGUUGCUGCAAGUCUUCGGAAAGUCAGCAUCAACAACAGACUGAUGGAGCCGUUCCCUGCCAAUAAACAAAGCAUUGAGCAUUUCACUAAGUAUUUAGCUGAGGCAGGCUUGAAAGAGCUUUCGGAGUAUGUCCCCAACCAGCAGACCAUUGGGCCUCGGAAAGAGCUCCAGAAGGAACUUCAGGAGCAGAUGUCCAGCGGUGACCCAUUCAAGGACAUAAUUUUAUAUGUCAAGGAAGAGAUGAAUAAAAAAAUAACAUCCCAGAACCAGUGGUCAUUGGGAUAGUCUGGUCCUGUGUGAUGAGCACCGUGGAAUGGAACAAAAAAGAGGAGCUUGUAGCAGAACAAGCCAUCAAGCACUUGAAGCAAUACAGCCCUCUACUUGCUGCCUUCACUACUCAAGGUCAGUCUGAGCUGACUCUGUUACUGAAGAUUCAGGAGUAUUGCUACAACAUUCACUUCAUGAAAGCCUUCCAGAAAAUAGUGGUGCUUUUUUAUAAAGCUGAGGUCCUGAGUGAAGAGCCCAUCCUGAAGUGGUAUAAAGACGCACAUGUUGCAAAGGGGAAAAAUGUCUUCCUUGAGCAGAUGAAGAAGUUUGUAGAAUGGCUCAAAAAUGCUGAGGAGGAAUCUGAGUCUGAAGCUGAAGGUGACUGAAUUUUGAAACAACAG